ACAUCAGUGCAUGCAUUGCGGUGAUUGUGAUUUCAUAUUCUAGACCCUAUAGGUAUAGUAGGCAGUAUAGGUACUAUGUGUAUUUGGGAAGUAUACCUACCUAACUCGAGUAAAAUUUUUCCAGUAGUUAUCAAAAGCGCCGUGAAAAACAAAAGAAACAUUAUAAGGAAAAACGGGCAUUUUUACACAAAAUCUGUUUUCGAAAAAAUCGAUUUUGGUUUUUGGUGCAAUUCUUAAUCGAAUGACCAAAUCAAUUUUGACUGAACGUUUAUAUAAGCAUUUUCUAUACACCAUAACAUUUUCCAAAUAUUUUGAGCUGUUUACGGACAUUUUCAGUUUCUAUUGUUUUAAGUUUUUUUUUCUAUAAAUAUCGAUAACAUUUUAUUUGUUGGUUAAAAAAGCUUAAAAAUUUAAUAGAAGGCUCCUGUUAAUUAUUUCAAAGGCAGAUGGAAAAAAUAUAUCAUAAAUUGUGGAACGAGAGACGCGUCGGCUCGGUCGCACGGUUAAAAACGGUCGCGGGACGCGCCGCGUACGCUAGGGUCGCUACUCUACGGUCUCCCCAUUCGGGUAUUCGCGGUAUACGAAUCAGUAAAAAAUUGUCCGCGUUCGUGGUAUAUACAACAACAACAACUAUAACCUAAAAACGACGGCUUUAUCCUUUGCCCGACGCCGCCGACACCGACGCGUCACACAGACACACACUCACCCGUCGUUCCGAACACGUUCGUUUCGUGGUUCUCUCUUUGCCCCGGUGCGGUAGUGCCCGUCACCCGCGGUUCGUCGUUGCGAUCCUGCCACUGUGUUCCGACCGGGGCAGUCGUUUUACAACCGAUCGUUGUAUUCCGACUGCCCUGGUCGGGGUUUUCGUGUGACGCAUAUCAGUACCCGACUCGCGGAACGCCAGAGGAUCGAAGGUCAAAAGUCGAAACCAAUGUUCACGUGACGUGUAUCGACCAAUCGUGGGCCGAAUGGAAUAUUCAAGAUGGCCGCCAAACCGCGGGCCGCCGCGCCGCAACGCACUCGCCCUGGAAACCUUUAGUACAAUAUCUACUCCUCCGACCCUACCAGCUCCGACCGUGGUCGCGGUAAUUUAAUCCUGCACACACCCGUUUUCAUGAGCGUACUGCAGAAAAUUUAAUUCUUCUGGUCCCGUAACAAUAUAAAUUCUACACCGAGGGCAACCGUUUUUAUGUGCGUACACCAGACAGUCUAAGUGUCAAUUAACCACAGCGUUGGCACGUUUGUUUUCAUCCGAUGGUCAUCAAAGGCUAUGGGAUGAAAGUUGGCGUGCCAACGCUGCGGCACUUAGAUUGUUUGCUGUGCGCACGUAAAAACGUCUGCCCUCGUCAUAAAACUCACACCGGAGAUAUUAUUCUCGUUCAGAACGAUUAGAUAAUCUGCAGUGUGCACGUGAAAACGGAUGUGCGUACCGAGAUAAAAUUAUCGACCGACUUAUAAUAAUACAAAAACCAAUAUGUAAAACAAUAUUGUAUAUUGUUUGCCGUACCGGUAAACCAAACUGUUCUGCUGCUGUAAUUCGAUAGGUAUUAUGCGUUUUUAAUAUUGUUGUCUAUGAACUAUUGAGCUAGGCAGCAGCUGUUUACGGUAAUUUAAUCCUGCACACACCCGUUUUCAUGAGCGUACUGCAGAAAAUUUAAUUCUUCUGGUCCAGUAACAAUAUAAAUUCUACACCGAGGGCAACCGUUUUUAUGUGCGUACACCAGACAGUCUAAGUGUCAAUUAGCCACAGCGUUGGCACGUUUGUUUUCAUCCGAUGGUCAUCAGAGGCUAUGGGAUGAAAGUUGGCGUGCCAACGCUGCGGCACUUAGAUUGUUUGCUGUGCGCACGUAAAAACGUCUGCCCUCGUCAUAAAACUCACACCGGAGAUGUUAUUCUCGUUCAGAACGAUUAGAUAAUCUGCAGUGUGCACGUGAAAACGGACGUGCGUACCGAGAUAAAAUUAUCGACCUACUUACAAUAAUACAAAAACCAAUAUGAAAAACAAUAUUGUAUAUUGUUUGCCGUACCGAGAUAAAAUUAUCGACCGACUUAUAAUAAUACAAAAACCAAUAUGUAAAACAAUAUUGUAUAUUGUUUGCCGUACCGGUAAACCAAACUGUUCUGCUGCUGUAAUUCGAUAGGUAUUAUGCGUUUUUAAUAUUGUUGUCUAUGAACUAUUGAGCUAGGCAGCAGCUGUUUACGGUAAUUUAAUCCUGCACACACCCGUUUUCAUGAGCGUACUGCAGAAAAUUUAAUUCUUCUGGUCCAGUAACAAUAUAAAUUCUACACCGAGGGCAACCGUUUUUAUGUGCGUACACCAGACAGUCUAAGUGUCAAUUAGCCACAGCGUUGGCACGUUUGUUUUCAUCCGAUGGUCAUCAGAGGCUAUGGGAUGAAAGUUGGCGUGCCAACGCUGCGGCACUUAGAUUGUUUGCUGUGCGCACGUAAAAACGUCUGCCCUCGUCAUAAAACUCACACCGGAGAUGUUAUUCUCGUUCAGAACGAUUAGAUAAUCUGCAGUGUGCACGUGAAAACGGACGUGCGUACCGAGAUAAAAUUAUCGACCGACUUAUAAUAAUACAAAAACCAAUUUGAAAAACAAUAUUGUAUAUUGUUUGCCGUACCGGUAAACCAAACUGUUCUGCUGCUGUAAUUCGAUAUUAUGCGUUUUUAAUAUUGUUGUCUAUGAACUAUAUUGAGCUAAUUUACAAUAUUAUUAUUAACAUUAGCAUAGAUGAUAACCUAAUUAUUAUAAAUAUGUAUUUAUUUUUGUAAAGUAAAAUUUACUUAUGGAUGUUAUUAUUUUAAUGUUCGAAACACAUUUUAACAGCGUAUUAAUAAAUGCAUAUUGCAAAUUCAAUAAUAA